rnacentral:piRNA from 1 species
UGAAGAUGAGCUUGGGGUACAGUCACUG